AGUGAACGCUGGCGGUAGGCCUAACACAUGCAAGUCGAACGGCAGCACAGUAAGAGCUUGCUCUUACGGGUGGCGAGUGGCGGACGGGUGAGGAAUACAUCGGAAUCUACUUUUUCGUGGGGGAUAACGUAGGGAAACUUACGCUAAUACCGCAUACGACCUACGGGUGAAAGCAGGGGAUCUUCGGACCUUGCGCGAUUGAAUGAGCCGAUGUCGGAUUAGCUAGUUGGCGGGGUAAAGGCCCACCAAGGCGACGAUCCGUAGCUGGUCUGAGAGGAUGGUCACCCACACUGGAACUGAGACACGGUCCAGACUCCUACGGGAGGCAGCAGUGGGGAAUAUUGGACAAUGGGCGCAAGCCUGAUCCAGCCAUACCGCGUGGGUGAAGAAGGCCUUCGGGUUGUAAAGCCCUUUUGUUGGGAAAGAAAAGCAGCAGGUUAAUACCCCGCUGUUCUGACGGUACCCAAAGAAUAAGCACCGGCUAACUUCGUG
rnacentral:rRNA from 1 species